rnacentral:piRNA from 1 species
UGUGGAACUGCAGAGACAUGCUAACCCCA